rnacentral:ncRNA from 1 species
ACUACAUAAUUUGGACCAGGUAAAGCCGAAUGAUCCGGCUUUUUAAAAGGGCAAGCUGGUGAAAGUCCAGCGCGGUCCCGCCACUGUAAAUGAAAUGCAGCCAUUUCAUAAGCCAGAAAACCUGCCUGGUUUAGAGCACCGGU